CAAGCUAGCCCCAUGGUAUCGGAUCACUGUGAUGUGAUUGUCAAACCAUCCCAGCCGUGGGACUAAGAGAAAGAAGGCGAUAACUCCGGGACUUGCGCGUCCGAGCGAUCCAGCGAUCUUCUCUCCGUCGCCGCUUCAAGAUCGAAGAUCGAUGGAUGGCCUCUCGGAUCUCCCCCGCAUUUCCAGUAUUAACUUGCGAGAGUUUUCGUUUCAUGGAGGGCCCCGCAGCAUCAUCACCAACGACUACUUACUUACAUCAUAUAGGGGCCGUGCGUGAUCUGGUGAUACGAAACUUGAGGAGCCAAUCGGCUCUAAUUUCGCGUCAGUCUUUCUUUCCUCUACCUAUCUUAGAUCCCCGUCUCAAGUAAGAAGGCAUUGCAGAGUUGUAUGCAGACGCACUGACCUUAUAUUACACAUGGGCAUGUUAAUAUGGCGAUGAUGAUCCAUUACAGAUCCAACACCGAGUAAAGCAUUAGCCGCGCUGUUUGAGACCUUUUAGCGUUGUGUUUCUGAACAGGAAGAUCUCUCUCACCGCCUCCUUCAGGCAAAUAAUUGACAUACAUGGAGUGAUAUGACGAUGGAUGAAUGUUCAAUUACUGGACUCGAACAACAAGUUGGGACAUGAAGUGGCCGCUUGACGGUCUUCGGUGAUAUUGCCUCGUCUAGCGAAGUUCGCGCUUACAAUGAUACGAGUAAUAGUGUAAUGGUUUUGUUCAGCAAACCUUAUCAAACGCUGACAGUACUUUUCCGGUCUGUCUUCGCAGCAAGAGCAAGAAAUGAUCUGAAACAAAGCGGCCUCGACAGCUGAACUGAAAAACCAACCCAGAAAUUUUACAGCAAAGAGUUCGAGAACGGAGCGGUGUCUGUACUAUUCUAGUCUCCAAAGACACUUGUGCCUUGUACCCUUGGACUCGCAUUUCCCCCUUCAAGACACACAUCACCAGUUUCCUCAGGUCCGUCUUUCAACAUUAUCAUCUAGUUGUAGAUGACGGGUCAAAAAUCACACUCCAGAUAUCGUGAACUAUCCGGUCUCUUUCAGACAAUGUGCGGGUAUAAUGAAUGCUCAGUGAACGAGGUAUAGAUGUCAACAGUUACUUAGGCUCGUAGCCGUGAACUAUCAGACAUCCCGAUGAGCCAUGUGUAUAUUGAAUGAAUAAGCAGUACAAAUCGUGUACAAG